GAUUAUGAUGACUAUUACGACAUGCAAAGGCAUUCCUCAAACUUAAUCACCAUGUGGAAUCUGUCAUGUUAUCAAGUUUCAGCCUUGUCUGAUC
rfam:Coccidioides immitis RMSCC 3703 supercont1.111 genomic scaffold, whole genome shotgun sequence.